CAGUAGCCGCGGGAACACGUAGGGUGCAAGCGUUAAUCGGAAUUACUGGGCGUAAAGGGCUCGCAGGCGGUUUCUUAAGUCUGAUGUGAAAGCCCCCGGCUCAACCGGGGAGGGUCAUUGGAAACUGGGAAACUUGAGUGCAGAAGAGGAGAGUGGAAUUCCACGUGUAGCGGUGAAAUGCGUAGAGAUGCGGAGGAACACCAGUGGCGAAGGCACUCUGCUGGGCCGACACUGACACUGAGAGACGAAAGCUAGGGGAGCAAAUGGGAUUAGAGACCCCUGUAGUCCCUGUCUCUUAUAC
rnacentral:rRNA from 1 species